rnacentral:rRNA from 1 species
CCUACGGGAGGCAGCAGUGAGGAAUAUUGGUCAAUGGGCGGAAGCCUGAACCAGCCAAGUCGCGUGAGGGAAUAAGGCCCUACGGGUCGUAAACCUCUUUUGCCGGGGAGCAAGGGCGGGGACGUGUCCCGGCCCGGAGAGUACCCGGAGAAAAAGCAUAGGCGAACUCAGGGCGAGCAGCAGCGGUAAUACGGAGGAUGGGAGCGAUAUCCGGAUUUAUUGGGUUUAAAGGGUGCGAAGGCGGGCUUGUAAGUCAGCGGUAAAGAUUCGGGGCUCAACCCCGGCCGGCCGUUGAAACUGGUGGCCUUGAGUGGGCGAGAAGAAGGCGGAAUGCGUGGUGUAGCGGUGAAAUGCAUAGAUAUCACGCAGAACCCCGAUUGCGAAGGCAGCCUUCCGGAGCCCUACUGACGCUGAGGCACGAAAGUGCGGGGAUCGAACAGGAUUAGAUACCCGAGUAGUC